AGGACGAACGCUGGCGGCGUGCUUAACACAUGCAAGUCGAGCGGAAAGGCCCUUUUGGGGGUACUCGAGCGGCGAACGGGUGAGUAACACGUGAGUAACCUGCCCUGGACUUUGGGAUAACCCUCGGAAACGGGGGCUAAUACCGGAUAUGACUUGGCCUCGCAUGGGGUUGGGUGGAAAGUUUUUCGGUCUGGGAUGGGCUCGCGGCCUAUCAGCUUGUUGGUGGGGUGAUGGCCUACCAGGGCGACGACGGGUAG
rnacentral:rRNA from 1 species